rnacentral:lncRNA from 1 species
UCCCAACUACUUGAGGAAAAGAAUUAAAAGUUCCUAAGUCCUACAAAUCAACUUCGACUUAUGAAAGAAGCAUGUGGGUGAGGGAACCCCGAGAAACUAUGUUGAUUUCGUUGAUUGUUGUGAUCUAAAAAACCCUCAAAUUCAUGACCUUGGUAAAUAGAUAUUUGCGUCAAAAAACACAUGAUAUCCAGUUUUGAACUGAGCCAGUAAUAAAUCUAGAGGUGCAUAGAACAUAGAUACCUUUGGUAACAUAGUGAAGCUUAAUUUUCUACAACAAAGGCAUAACUGCCUUGGCUAGCAUGAGUAAAAGAAUUUAAGUUGUCCUUCAACACACACACACACAAGCCAGAGCUAGUCACGCCUUAGUUUUGUGUAGAGGUUACAACUUACAACAUCGGCUUAUAGAUUCAUGCAACACCAACUACAAAAAAGUUAUAAGCAUAUCUGGAGUAUCAACUAACAAUGCGAACAAAAUCCAUAAGCAUAAAAUGGCUAACCCUACAAAGAAAAUCCAUAACCAUACACCAUCGUCAUGUACAAAUAAAAUCCAUAAGCAUAGAGCAACUACUCCUACCAAAAAAAAACAUAAGCAUACGACAACUACCCCCUACAAAAAUACAUCGGCGCGAAGGUCACAAACAAUUGGGAGCUCACCGUGACGGAGAUUGAGUAUGCCUAGGGAGGAUCUUGUCCUGGAGCAUCUUUGUCGUCUUCGUCGUGGCCGGAUCCAACAUUCUAUACAUCACCAUCAUGGCUGGAUCCGUUGCUAAAUUGACAAACCGGGCUACACGACACCGGGUCCUGGGUGCUCAGGCGCGCGAACAGGGCCGCCCGCGGCGUACAGGACAACGGACGCGCUCGCGCACGCGGACACGCCACGGCCGAGCCGCCCUGCCAAACUAACCCAUUUGGAGAUGCCGACGCGACGGCGCAAGACCAUCCAUUCCCCGCUCACCUUUUCCCCUCGCCCUACGGCCAAAUUGGGCUAGGCUGCCACGUCGAAUUUCGGCCACGCUCUGGCCUCCUCGUUCCUCCUAAGGCAAAGCUAGCCCUCUUCGCUACGCCGGUCCACGCCACCCUAUGGCGGCUUGUCUUGUUGGCCAUUGCACGUUCCCGCCCCCGCCAUAGCAGCGCCUUGCGUUGAGAUUCGCGCGCGCUCUUGUCUUGUUGGCCAUUGCCGCCGUAGUAGGCUCAUGGCAAUGCGCAUGGCAGCGGGAAGAGCCUGUGGCGCUUGGAGCGCGCAGCGCAUGCUGCUCCCCCGCCAGCGCGUCGACUUCAUCCGGCUGUGUCCCGGCGUCGCCGCCGCGGCGACGGUACGGUUCGGCGCUCGCCGCGCCCUCGGGAGCAGAGUGAUCCUCUGCCUCGCGUCGGGAGGCGGUCGUCCGCGGGACGACGACGGCGAGUUCGAGCCCGCGGACUCGCCGUUGGAUUCGGACGGGCGGAAGGUCGACGAGGGCAUGGCCACGCUGUGGCGGCGCAUCCGCGAGGUGGAGGCGGCAUCAGCAGACGAGGAGGACGAGGAAGAUCCAGAGUACGAGGGUGGCGUCGACGUCUUCGCGCCCCCGGCUGAGUGGACGGAGCUGGAGCGUCGGCAUUACGUGCUGUACGUUGCCGCCCUGCGCGAGGCACUCGGCGCCCUGUUCGCAUUGCUGGCGCGCGAGCGGCCGGCGUUCGGCGCGGCGGUCGUGGCGCUGGUGCUGCUCAGCGUGCCGGCCUCGGUGCCCCACGUCUCCGCGGAGCUGAUCCGGGCCGUGUACUCCAUCUUGGCCGCCGUGCACAACGGUACAAUAUAGUACGAGUAGGAUUGUACUGCAUGGUUGCGUAACCGUACCGAUGGAGUACGUAUGUUUGUCACGUGCACGUGUUGGUUGUCCUUGUUCCGAGGAUGUAUUAGAUUAGCCAUUAGAUUAUUAUAAGUGGCGUUCGCUUUCUCGAAUCGCAAUGGACAGCAAUCACAUACAGAGGCACUCACCAAAAGUGAAAGAGCAUUCUGAAACUUAUAGUCAUCAAGGCAGUGAUUUCACAAAAAAGAGAGUCAUCAAGGCAGUACAUGCACGCAAGAGUUCAUACCCAUUACCGAUCUUAUGUAGAGACAAUGCCAACAAAACAUACUGUUGACCAACCGCCCGUUCAUUUUGUGCAGUGCAACUAAAUUUAUCUACAUCUGGAAAACAUGGUCAGCUUACUUGAAGUAAAAUGCGAGCAAACUUUGUUAUGCAUAAGAAAUUAUCAAUGAUAUUAGUUCCCCUUAAAAUACAAUAACUAGUGUGGUAACGAAGUCAUUUGUAAUUACUCCAACAAAUUAGUUAUUUUGUGCAGUGCAAACAAUAAUGCUAUACACAAAUAUUAAGAUCAUAAAUAUUAUAUUUAUGUAUUCGAUAUAUUUUUGUCGAGAAGAUCGUGCCCGACUUAGUCAGCGAUGUGAUCAGGACAGACAACACUAUCAGAGUUUCUCUCGAUCAUGGUCAUCAUUUUCCAAGUAAAGCCCUCCCAACUACUUGAGGAAAAGAAUUAAAAGUUCCUAAGUCCUACAAAUCAACUUCGACUUAUGAAAGAAGCAUGUGGGUGAGGGAACCCCGAGAAACUAUGUUGGUUUCGUUGAUUGUUGUGAUCUAACGAAACCUCAAAUUUAUGACCUUGGUAAAUAGAUAUUUGCGUCAAAAAACACAUGAUAUCCAGUUUUGAACUGAGCCAGUAAUAAAUCCAGAGGUGCAUAGAACAUAGAUACCUUUGGUAACAUAGUGAAGCUUAAUUUUCUACAACAAAGGCAUAACUGCCUUGGCUAGCAUGAGUAAAAGAAUUUAAGUUGUCCUUCAACACACACACACACACAAGCCAGAGCUAGUCACGCCUUAGUUUUGUGUAGAGGUUACAACUUACAACAUCGGCUUAUAGAUUCAUGCAACACCAACUACAAAAAAGUUAUAAGCUUAUCUGGAGUAUCAACUAACAAUGCUAACAAAAUCCAUAAGCAUAAAAUGGCUAACCCUACAAAGAAAAUCCAUAACCAUACACCAUCGUC